AACGAACGCUGGCGGCGUGCCUAACACAUGCAAGUCGAACGAGAAAGGGGCUUCGGCUCCGAGUAAAGUGGCGCACGGGUGAGUAACACGUGGGUAACCUGCCUCUAAGAUUGGGAUAACUCGUCGAAAGAUGAGCUAAUACCGAAUAAGACCACAGUUCCCGCGGGAACAGGGGUCAAAGGUAGCCUCUGCUUGCAAGCUAUCACUUAGAGAUGGGCCUGCGCACCAUUAGCUAGUUGGUAGGGUAACGGCCUACCAAGGCAAAGAUGGUUAGCUGGUCUGAGAGGAUGAUCAGCCACACUGGAACUGAGACACGGUCCAGCAUCCUACGGGAGGCAGCAGUGGGGAAUAUUGCGCAAUGGGCGAAAGCUUGACGCAGCAACGCCGCGUGAGUGAUGAAGGCCUUCGGGUCGUAAAGCUCUGUCGGGAGGAACGAAUGCUCCUGAGGUUAACAGCCUCGGGAGGUGACGGUACCUUCAAAGGAAGCACCGGCUAACUCUGUG
rnacentral:rRNA from 1 species